rnacentral:rRNA from 2 species
UACGGAGGAUCCAAGCGUUAUCCGGAAUUACUGGGCGUAAAGAGUUGCGUAGGCGGCAUAGUAAGCGGGUAGUGAAAUGACGAGGCUCAACCUCGUGUCCAUUACCUGAACUGCUAAGCUAGAGUAUGAGAGAGGUUAUUGGAAUUUCUAGUGUAGGAGUGAAAUCCGUAGAUAUUAGAAGGAACACCGAUGGCGUAGGCAGAUAACUGGCUCAUUACUGACGCUCAGGCACGAAAGCGUGGGGAGCGACCGGG